ACUUAAAAAAUUUGGCGGCAUUUGAAACUUAUUAGAGAAACUUGUUUUAUUAAUCGAUAGUCCUCGAAGAAUUUCACCUUUGUUUGUAAUUAUUCAGUUUGUAUACCGUCAUAGAUGUAAUUUUUAUAAAAUUAUAAUUAUUUAAAAUAACUAAUGUUAGUAAGAUAUUAGAUCAAGGUGCAGCUUAUAUAAAGGGUAAAAUGAGUUACAAUAUUAUAAUAUAUAAAUAUAUAUAUAUAUUGGAUAAUUUUUUGAAAAAUUAAUUUGAAAUUGGAUUUAAUUGUAAUUAUAGAUUUUAAUAAGUUAUAAUGAUAAUAGUUCUGAAGUGUGU
rnacentral:rRNA from 1 species